UACGUAGGGUGCAAGCGUUGUCCGGAAUUAUUGGGCGUAAAGAGCUUGUAGGCGGUUUGUCGCGUCUGCUGUGAAAUUUCGGGGCUCAACCCCGAACUUGCAGUGGGUACGGGCAGACUAGAGUGUGGUAGGGGAGACUGGAAUUCCUGGUGUAGCGGUGAAAUGCGCAGAUAUCAGGAGGAACACCGAUGGCGAAGGCAGGUCUCUGGGCCUUACCUGACGCUGAGGAGCGAAAGCGUGGGGAGCGAACAGG
rnacentral:rRNA from 1 species